UGGGGAAUAUUGGACAAUGGGGGAAACCCUGAUCCAGCGACGCCGCGUGGAGGAAGAAGGCUUUCGGGUUGUAAACUCCUGUCGUCAGGGACGAAGGUUUGCAGGUGAAUAAUCUGCAGGCUUGACGGUACCUGAGGAGGAAGCACCGGCUAACUCCGUGCCAGCAGCCGCGGUAAUACGGAGGGUGCAAGCGUUGUUCGGAAUUACUGGGCGUAAAGCGUGUCUCGGCGGGUCGGUAAGUUAGAUGUUAAAGACCCAGGCUUAACCUGGGGCGUGCAUUUGAUACUGCCGAUCUUGAGUGACAGAGGGAUGAGCGGAAUUCCUGGUGUAGCAGUGAAAUGCGUAGAGAUCAGGAGGAACACCUGUGGCGAAAGCGGCUCAUUGGCUGUCAACUGACGCUCAAGCACGAAAGCGUGGGUAGCAAACAGG
rnacentral:rRNA from 1 species